UGGGAAACUGGGGCUAAUCCCCCAUAGGCCUGAGGUACUGGAAGGUCCUCAGGCCGAAAGGGGCUCUGCCCGCCCGAGGAUGGGCCGGCGGCCGAUUAGGUAGUUGGUGGGGUAACGGCCCACCAAGCCGAAGAUCGGUACGGGCCAUGAGAGUGGGAGCCCGGAGAUGGACACUGAGACACGGGUCCAGGCCCUACGGGGCGCAGCAGGCGCGAAACCUCCGCAAUGCGGGCAACCGCGACGGGGGGACCCCCAGUGCCGUGGCAUCGCCACGGCUUUUCCGGAGUGUAAAGAGCUCCGGGAAUAAGGGCUGGGCAAGGCCGGUGGCAGCCGCCGCGGUAAUACCGGCGGCCCGAGUGGUGGCCGCUAUUAUUGGGCCUAAAGCGUCCGUAGCCGGGCCCGUAAGUCCCUGGCGAAAUCCCACGGCUCAACCGUGGGGCUUGCUGGGGAUACUGCGGGCCUUGGGACCGGGAGAGGCGGAGGGUACUCCUGGGGUAGGGGUGAAAUCCUAUAAUCCCAGGAGGACCGCCAGUGGCGAAGGCGCUCCGCUGGAACGGGUCCGACGGUGAGGGACGAAGGCCAGGGGAGCGAACCGGAUUAGAUACCCGGGUAGUCCUGGCUGUAAAGGAUGCGGGCUAGGUGUCGGGCGAGCUUCGUGCUCGCCCGGUGCCGAAGGGAAGCCGUUAAGCCCGCCGCCUGGGGAGUACGGCCGCAAGGCUGAAACUUAAAGGAAUUGGCGGGGGAGCACUACAAGGGGUGGAGCGUGCGGUUUAAUUGGAUUCAACGCCGGGAACCUCACCGGGGGCGACGGCAGGAUGAAGGCCAGGCUGAAGGUCUUGCCGGACACGCCGAGAGGAGGUGCAUGGCCGCCGUCAGCUCGUACCGUGAGGCGUCCACUUAAGUGUGGUAACGAGCGAGACCCGCGCCCCCAGUUGCCAGUCCUCCCCGCUGGGGAGGAGGCACUCUGGGGGGACCGCCGGCGAUAAGCCGGAGGAAGGAGCGGGCGACGGUAGGUCAGUAUGCCCCGAAACCCCCGGGCUACACGCGCGCUACAAUGAGCGGGACAAUGGGAUCCGACCCCGAAAGGGGAAGGUAAUCCCCUAAACCCGCUCCCAGUUCGGAUCGCGGGCUGCAACUCGCCCGCGUGAAGCUGGAAUCCCUAGUACCCGCGUGUCAUCAUCGCGCGGCGAAUACGUCCCUGCUCCUUGCACACACCGCCCGUCACUCCACCCGAGCGGGGUCUGGAUGAGGCCUGGUCUCCCUUCGGGGAGGCCGGGUCGAGUCUGGGCUCCGUGAGGGGGGAGAAGUCGUAACAAGGUAGCCGUAGGGGAACCUACGGCUCGAUCACCUCCUAUCGCCGGAA
rnacentral:rRNA from 1 species